rnacentral:lncRNA from 10 species
UGCCGCCUUGCAGUUUGAUCUCAGACUGCUGUGUUAGCAAUCAGCGAGACUCCGUGGGCGUAGGACCCUCCAAGCCAGGUGCGGGGUAUAAUCUCGUGGUGCGCCGUUUUUUAAGCCCGUCGGAAAAGCGCAGUAUUCGGGUGGGAGUGACCUGAUUUUCCAGGUGCCGUCAGUCACCCCUUUCUUUGACUCGGAAAGGGAACUCCCUGACCCCUUGCGCUUCCCGAGUGAGGCAAUGCCUCGCCCUGCUUCGGCUCGUGCACGGUGUGCGCACCCACUGACCUGCGCCCACUGUCUGGCACUCCCUAGUGAGAUGAACCCGGUACCUCAGAUGGAAAUGCAGAAAUCACCGUCUUCUGCGUCGCUCACGCUGGGAGCUGUAGACUGGAGCUGUUCCUAUUCGGCCAUCUUGGCUCCUCCCCCGUUGGAUGGUUGACGCUUCCUGAUGAUUAAAAUCAAUAUACACAUUCCAGGUUGGAACAGAAGAAAUGCAGUAUUCCUCUGAGGACAUCACUUCUGGAGGUACAUGUUGGAUGCCCAUCUGCUCCUCAAUGGUGAUAUUAAUUUGGAUCAAAACAAGCAUCAUUGAUUAUCUUGUCCAGUUUAUUAUUGUAUGGUUGUGAUUAUUUUCUCUUGCAACUGCAGAGUCUGAGGGAGAAACUUUAAGAUUAUGCAGAUAUUUCGGUUGGCCCUCAUCAAAUUUCCUCCCUACAUUUUGCCCUCAUUGGUAAUGCUUGUUUGAAAUAUUUAUCCUGAUGGCACUAAAUGGUGAUUUUCUGCCUCCACCUUUCCCAUUAUAUUUUCCUAUAGGCUCUAGGGAUUCUACUGUAGGUGAGAGCCCUCCCUUCUCCACUAUUUAUGUAUUUAUUCGAACAGUUGGUUAGUUAUCUAUUUGUUAUUAGUACAGACUCAUGGAUUCCUGUGUUUUCAGCGAUCUGUGAUUAACUGCCGUCCGUAUUUAUUUUGGUGUUUAAAUUGGCCUAGAUUUAGCCAGUGGGAGCUCCUUUCCACUUGUAACAGACAUCCAUUGGUUUUGUAGUUGUUGGUUGUUUUAGUAUUUACUUAUCUGAGGAAUAACAGCAAGUUCUAGGUUCAUUUUGCUCCUACUUGUGUUGUUAUGAUAUACAUUGGUUUUUGUCCAUGGUUCCUGGCUCAUAACUCCCAUAGUCCUUGUUACAGUCUUUUGUUACCAUCAUGUUGGGUGUGUUAAGCCUCAGAGGCAGGCCUCCACCUUUCUCCUGCCCUCCUUUUAUCUGCUCCAAGGUAGGACUCGAGGUCUUAAGAACCUCCCAUGAGAGAGUCCCACCCUAUACCCUAGCGGGAGGAACGUUGAUGUCAUGAGGUCUCCACGGGGUGGCAGGGAACAAGAAAACUGGGUUGAGAGAGCUUCUGGAUAGCUCAACACAUGGGGAUUCCUGGAAGGUGGCUCACUCAGGGAAGUCAUGGAAGCUCCCUGCCACUUCCCCCAUACCUCGCCCUAUGCAUCUCUUCAUCUGUACCGUUUGCAAUAGCCUCCAUAAUGAACCAGUAAAUGUAAGUGUUUCCCUGAGUUUUAUGAGCCCCUCCUGCAAAUUAAUCGAACCCAAAGAGGGGGUCAUGGGAACCCCAACUUGAAGCCAGGUGGUCAGAAGUUCUGGAGGCCUACACUUGUGACUGGCAUGUGUGGGGAUCAGUCUUGGGGACUAGCCCUCAACCUGUGGGAUCUGAAGCUAUCUCUUGGUAGACAGUAUUGGAACUGAAUUUGAGGAUACCUAGCUGGUGUCCACUGCUUGGUGUUUGUGAAAAACAAUCUCACACAUAUGGUAACAGAAAUCUUCUUCCUGUUGAUGACAGUUAUGGUGUGAGAGCAGAGGAGAAACACAGUUAGAGUUUUCCCUACAUACUACCCUACCACAGACCUGGAGUCAGCCAUAUGUCUGAAGAGCUGUCUUUCUAUUUGGUGGGGAAUGGUAGUAGAGACCAAGAUGUUAUCAAUUUUUGAUAUAGAUCAAUUUCACCUUUCUAAAUGAAUUAUUUCUGUAACCUUUUUUUUUUCCUUAUGAGAACCAGAAUAUCUCCCUAAUAUAAGUCUGUGGCAAUUUCAGAAUUACUGUCAGUAGCUUUGAGAUUAUAUUAACAGGACCCUUUAUUAUUUUAGUGUGUGUUUUACUUAGACCCAGUGAUUUGAAUUUAUUUUCUAUUGUUGGAUACUCUUUAUUAGAUUAUAUAUUUUAAAUUUCAAUAUCUUCAUUAUAGUAUACUUGUCUUUUUUGUCUUAAAUGCAUUAUGUUUCAUAAUGGGAAUGCAAACAAAAUACCAUAUGUAUUAGGGUUCUUGAAAGGGAUAGAACUGAUAGGAUACAUGUAUAUAUUAGUAUGAAGGGGAGUUUAUUAGGAGAAUUGACUCACACGAUCACAAGGUAAAGUCCCACAAUAGGCUGUCUACAACCUGAGAAGCAAGGAAGCCAGUCCAAGUGCCAAAACCUCAAAAGUAAGGAUGCCAACAGUGCAGCCUUCAGUCUGUGACUGAAGGCCCAAGAGUGCCUGGCAAAUCACUGGUGUAAGUUCGAGUCCAAAAGCUGAAGAACUUGGAGUCUGAUGUUUGAGAUCAGGAAGCAUACAGCACGGGAAAAAGAUGAAGGCGAGGACUCAGCAAGUCUCCUCAUUCCACUUUCUUCUACCUGUUUUAUUCUAGCCACGCUGGCAGCUGGUUAGAUGAUAUCCACUCAGAUUGAGGGUGGGUUUGCCUCUCCUAGUCUACUGACUCAAUGUUAAUCUCCUUUGGCAACACCUUCACAGACACACCCAGCAACAAUACUUUGUAUCUUUCAAUCCAAUCAAGUUGACACUCAAUAUUAACAAUCAUGCCACAUGAUUCGAUUAGUUUUUUAUUUUGGGCAUCCUUUUAAUAUUGAAACAUAACACACAUACAGUAAAAUGCCCAAAGUAUAUAACUGAAUGAAAUUUUACAAAUUAUAUAUACCUGUGCAACAACAAUUUAUAUCAACAUAUAAAUAUCAGGCCUCUGAGCCCAAGCUAAGCCAUCAUAUCCCCUGUGGCCUGCAUGUACACAUCUAGAUGGCCGGUUCCUGCCUUAACU